AUACGGGGGGUGCAAGCGUUAAUCGGAAUUACUGGGCGUAAAGGGUUCGUAGGUGGUUUAGUAAGUUAUGUGUGAAAUUCCUGGGCUCAACCUGGGGUGGUCAGAUAAUACUGCUAGACUAGAGUAUAGGAGAGGGUAGUGGAAUUUCCGGUGUAGCGGUGAAAUGCGUAGAUAUCGGAAGGAACACCAGUGGCGAAGGCGACUACCUGGCCGGAUACUGACACUGAGGGACGAAAGCGUGGGGAGC
rnacentral:rRNA from 1 species